UUUUGACCUCGGAUCAGGUAGGGAUACCCGCUGAACUUAAGCAUAUCAAUAAGCGGAGGAAAAGAAACCAACAGGGAUUGCCCUAGUAACGGCGAGUGAAGCGGCAACAGCUCAAAUUUGAAAUCUGGCUCUUUUAGAGUCCGAGUUGUAAUUUGCAGAGGGCGCUUUGGCUUUGGCAGCGGUCCAAGUUCCUUGGAACAGGACGUCACAGAGGGUGAGAAUCCCGUACGUGGUCGCUGGCUAUUGCCGUGUAAAGCCCCUUCGACGAGUCGAGUUGUUUGGGAAUGCAGCUCUAAAUGGGAGGUACAUUUCUUCUAAAGCUAAAUAUUGGCCAGAGACCGAUAGCGCACAAGUAGAGUGAUCGAAAGAUGAAAAGCACUUUGGAAAGAGAGUCAAACAGCACGUGAAAUUGUUGAAAGGGAAGCGCUUGCAGCCAGACUUGCUUGCAGUUGCUCAUCCGGGCUUUUGCCCGGUGCACUCUUCUGUAGGCAGGCCAGCAUCAGUUUGGGCGGUAGGAUAAAGGUCUCUGUCACGUACCUCCUUUCGGGGAGGCCUUAUAGGGGAGACGACAUACUACCAGCCUGGACUGAGGUCCGCGCAUCUGCUAGGAUGCUGGCGUAAUGGCUGUAA
rnacentral:rRNA from 1 species